rnacentral:rRNA from 1 species
UACGUAGGGGCAAGCGUUGUCCGGAAUCAUUGGGCGUAAAGCGCGUGUAGGCGGCUGGCUAAGUCCGCUCUGAAAGCCCGGGGCUCAACCCCGGGAGGCGGGUGGAUACUGGUCAGCUCGAGUCCGGAAGAGGAGUGUGGAAUUCCUGGUGUAGCGGUGAAAUGCGCAGAUAUCAGGAGGAACACCGAUGGCGAAGGCAGGUCUCUGGGCCACUACUGACGCUGAGAAGCGAAAGCAUGGGGAGCGAACAGG